rnacentral:misc_RNA from 1 species
GCAAACUUGGUCAUUUAGAGGAAGUAAAAGUCGUAACAAGGUCUCCGUAGGUGAACCUGCGGAGGGAUCAUUACAGAGUUCUUGCCCCCGGGCAGACCUCCCACCCACUGUCAUCGCUGCGACUGUUGCUUUGGCGGGCCGCCGGCACGCGCCGGCGCGCGCCCGCCAGAGGCCCCACAGACCCUGGAUAUUGGCGUCGUCUGAGUGUCAUUUAAUGAGUUAAAACUUUCAACAACGGAUCUCUUGGUUCUGGCAUCGAUGAAGAACGCAGC